GUUAAAUCCUAAAGGGAAACUCUAUAUCCCUAACGCACUUUAGUUUGCUGAACUGCUCUUUGUGUUAAGACGGUUAUGUCCGUUUUCAUUUUAUAAGAAGAGCAGAUUUCAGUAGAAAUUGAUACUUUUAUAAAUUAACCUUGUUACAACCCCCUGGUUUCCAUUAAAAACGGGUCCUGUUACUUCCUGUUAUUUUUAGCUUAGCAAAGCAAAAGGUAGGCAAUUGCCCAGUGCACCUGAUUUGCAAAGACUUCUUAUUGAGCAACAUUAGGAAGUUUGUGAUUGGACAGCCACAGAAAGUAUGGUCUGGGGAAGAAGGAGAGGGCUUGAAAAGGUUGCAGACAAGAGAUCUGCUGUUUUGUAAGCAGUUUUUAGAUAUACCGCAAAUGAAAAUAUGCAUAAUUAGAUACAUGCAUGUUUGUAUUGGGACUAUAUCUACUAAACAGUGAUUUGAUUUUAUUCGUUUUUUUCCCCCCUCCUUUUAUAAUGUUAUCAAUUAGAUAGGUGUCAUAUUGACAGUCUUUUGAACAGUGACAUAGUCUUUGAAUAUUUUUGGGAACAUUUAAAAAUGAGUGCAUCUAGAAUCAAAAUUUGCACAGCAAUUAAUUGCACCGUUUACAGAUGAUUUAUCUCACAUAAUUCGUUGUGUAGUAACCUCUUCAAAAAAAAAAAAAAAUCACCUUUGUAAAUUUGAAUUAAUCUCAGAUUAUAUAGACAGACGGGCAGACAGACAGAUCGAUCUAGCACUUUCUGAAGCUAAAUCAUGUCAGGGGGUAUCAAUGAUUUGGUAAUAAUAAUACUAAUAACAUUGUUUAUACACAUUUAAGAUGAGAGAUAACCUUAAUGCAUUUGUUUUCUUAAUUGCCACCCAUUAUUCAUGCUGGAAGAAACCUAAUAACUAAUUUUAACUAAUAAACUAAUUUUACUUCUGUACAAUUAUUCCUAAUAAUCAGAACUGG